CGCCUAUCAGCUAGCCCCACCCCCCAACAACAACAAAUCAACAUAAAUAACCCCAAAAACACGCAAGACUACACGAACUAAACCAUUCUCCCACCCUAGUAUUGGGCGACAGAAAAGGAACUAGUGGAGCAAUAGAGAAAGUACCGCAAGGGAACGCUGAAAGAGAGAUGAAAUAGCCCAGUAAAGCUUAAAAAAACAGAGAUUUAAACUCGUACCUUUUGCAUCAUGAUUUAGCUAGCACCCUCAAGCAAAGAGCCCUUUAGUUUGAUAACCCGAAACUAGGUGAGCUACUCCAAGACAGCCUAUCAAUUAGGGCGAACCCGUCUCUGUGGCAAAAGAGUGGGAAGAGCUUCGAGUAGAGGUGACAGACCUACCGAACCUAGUAAUAGCUGGUUGCCUGGGAACUGGAUAGAAGUUCAGCCUCAUGGCUUCUCCCUUCACCUCCGUACUAACUUCCUCCGGAUACUGUAAGAAACCAUGAGAGUUAGUCAAAGGGGGUACAGCCCCUUUGAACCAAGAUACAACUUUUACAGGUGGGUAAAGAUCAUAAUAAUUAAGGAAAAAUGUUUGGGUGGGCCUAAAAGCAGCCAUCCCCAUAGAAAGCGUUAAAGCUCCGACAUACUCUUCCUCCUCUUAUCCUGAUAACUUUAUCUUAACCCCCUAACCUUACCAGGCCGCCCCAUGCCAACAUGGGCGUGACCAUGCUAAUAUGAGUAAUAAGAGAGCCCUACCCCUCUCUCCUCGCACACGUGUAAAUCGGAACGGACUACCCACCGAAACUUAACGGCCCCAAACAAAGAGGGUAUUGAAAAAUUACCUAAGCAAACCAGAAAACCAUCCAUCUCCUUACCGUUAACCCCACACUGGUGUGCCACAAAGGAAAGACUAAAAGAAAGAGAAGGAACUCGGCAAACACAUGAAGCCUCGCCUGUUUACCAAAAACAUCGCCUCUUGCAAAACUAAAGAAUAAGAGGUCCCGCCUGCCCAGUGACAACUAGUUCAACGGCCGCGGUAUUUUGACCGUGCAAAGGUAGCGUAAUCACUUGUCUUUUAAAUGAAGACCUGUAUGAAUGGCAUAACGAGGGCUUAGCUGUCUCCUCUAUCCAGUCAAUGAAAUUGAUCUCCCCGUGCAGAAGCGGGGGUAAAACCAUAAGACGAGAAGACCCUAUGGAGCUUUAGACACUAAGGCAGAUCACGUUAAACAACUCCCAAUAAGGAACAAAACUGAAUGAGUCCUGCUUAAAUGUCUUCGGUUGGGGCGACCAUGGGGAAAUAAAAAACCCCCACGUGGACUGGGAGCACCUUCCCCCUCUUCCCUCCUCCCAAAACUGAGAGCUACCGCUCUAAUUAACAGAAAUUCUGACCAAAAAUGAUCCGGCAACGCCGAUCAACGGACCAAGUUACCCUAGGGAUAACAGCGCAAUCCCCUUUUAGAGCCCAUAUCGACAAGGGGGUUUACGACCUCGAUGUUGGAUCAGGACAUCCUAAUGGUGCAGCCGCUAUUAAGGGUUCGUUUGUUCAACGAUUAAAGUCCUACGUGAUCUGAGUUCAGACCGGAGUAAUCCAGGUCAGUUUCUAUCUAUGCUAUGAUCUUUUCUAGUACGAAAGGACCGAAAAGAAGAGGCCCCUGCUUUAAGUACGCCUCACCCCCACCUAAUGAAAGCAUCUAAACUAGGCAAGAGGGCAUGCCCUUCAUGCCCAAGAAAACGGCAU
rnacentral:rRNA from 1 species